rnacentral:lncRNA from 1 species
UUUUUUUUUUUUUUUUUUUUUUUUUUUGGCUAAAUCAAAUGUCAGCUGCCCGAUGACGCUUCCUAGGAUCUCAAUGCAGAGUUAGUUCCCUUUCGUGCUCCCAGUUGGUGCGCAUCUCUUUUAACCUUCCCCAGAUUUGAUUAUUUCCUUCGCCAAAUAAGAGGCACUUUAGGAAGUAGCCGGGGGGGAAUAGUAAUUGCAGGAAACUGAGAGCCGGACAGACUGAGAUACGCAUCUAACAUGCCUUAGGCAAGACGCAAGGCCAGGACAAGUCACUGAACCUCCCCGGAGCCUCAGUUUUCCAUCUGUAAAGGGGAGGUAAUAACUCCUACAGAGUAAGGGGGUUGUAAACUUAAAGCUGGUAGGUAAUGUGUUCAUGCCAGUGCCUGCCCCUUAGCUCCACGGAGAGCUCUGUUGGUAAACGGAGCUUCUUGUGACACCAGAAUGCUAUCUUUUUGAUCUUAACCCCCUCCCUCUCCACCAUCAUUAGGCCACAAAGCACCAGUCCUGAGUGAGCCAUAAAUGUGGCCUUUGAUUUAUGAGGGAUCAUGUGACUGAUUUUGAUUCUAACUCUCCGUGAGGAUGGCCUCCCAUCAGUGCUCCACGAAUAGCUUAUCCAUCUGGGUUUCUGUUGCUUCCUAUAUUAAUGCAGCUGGAAGCCUAGGAAACAGUCAACUGCAAGUUGGCAUAAGAAUAAAUUGGAACUAAGUAGGUAGUAUCAGGAGUUCACUUGCCGUGUCUUGCAUACACUUCUUUAAAACUCUUUAGGCAAAGAGUUUAAAUGAUGAACACAGGAGAAAAGAUUCGCCUCCAAGUGUUGAGUCUAUAAUAUUGGCUUCCCUCGUCCAACUAUAUGGCUGGGUCUUCUUUAGAGAACAUUUAAAAUAGAAAUGCCCAUGACAUCAGGCCAAUGAAAGUGCAGAUUUUAUGUGUAACUUCAUUAUGAAAUGACUAAAAACUCCACGUGGAAUUGAAACAAUGUCAUUCCUAUUUACUUAGUUUUUUGGCUGUGCCGGCAUGUGGCAGAACCCACGCCACAGCAGCCACCCACGCCGCUGCGGUGACAAUGCAGGAUCCUUAACGUGCUACAUCCCAAGAGAACUCCCCUAUUUAUUUUUAUUGAUUGACAAGCUGAGGCUUCCUUUAAAAAAAAAAGUAGAUCAUUCCCAGGUAGGAUGGUUUAAAUGACUGAUAUAAAUGUCUCCCCUUGGAAAUUCGGGAGUACUCAAGAGUACUCCUUGGGAGCAGGCCACAAGGCCCCGUGUUCUUACACUGCAGGUCUGUGGCCUGCUUAGAGUAGCACCAGAGAAAAGAAUGUGCGUGAACUUUUGGAUUCAGAGACCUGGAUCCAAAUCCUAGCUCUGCCACUCAGUGGUUACACCAACUUAAGAAAAGCUACAGGAUGUUCACAAGCCUAAAUUUGCUUUUCUGUAAAAUAGGGAUGGUCAUAGGGUCCCUUCCUCAUUAGGUUUGAGAAAUGAGUAAGGGACAACACAGGACCUGAAAUAUAGUAAAUGUUCAAUAAAUGGUAGCUGUCAGGCCUCAAAUUACUGCUGUUGAAAGGGUGCUCCAGCUUCUGGAGAGCAUAACGAGAGUCUGGCCUUAGGAAACUGGCCAGCAAUGAAAUGCCCAGCAGGUGCAGCACAAGCUGGUCUAAUUGUGUUCCUGUCCCAGACACAAAUUUUACCUUUUCCCAGAUAAGGGGCCAGAGACAGAUGGCAAGGAAGAGGCAACCCAAAGCAACCUUUCUGGUCUGAGAUAAUAUAAUUACACCCAAGGUCUGGGCAUAAUGCCUAAGGGACAACCUGUAACUCUCUUGCAGCCACUCGAUGUGGACUCUGAAGACGCCGUUGGGCAUUAAAGAUUUGGGGUAAAAUACAAUGAACGUGCCUAAGGAUGUGGGCCAGUGAGCGUGUCUACGUUCACCUCAGCCUCAGUGAAUACUGAUCCAAGGCCUCGACUUGCCAGGCCAGCACCUGGCCAGGUGCUCUGGGACACCAAGCUCACAAUAAUUCUCACGUGUGAUGAUGCGUUGGGAACGUAGAUCACAGACGUGAGGCUGGAGAAGGCAUUUCAGAGUGGGGCCUGUGACGUGAGCCCUGAAGGAUGAGCAGGAAGUUAGCCGACCCGGGGACAGUGGGGGGCAGAGACCUCUGCGGAGCAGCACGUGCAACGCUGCCUGCAAUGCAGAUGCUAGGGAGCCUUUUCAGUGACAUAAAAUGACAUACGAGGCCUGCGCCAUUGAGGUGGCAUUGUGCACGGAAAACCCCCACACCCACGAGACCUGAAAACAUACUUAGGACUCAAGUGGCUUCUACUCUUCUUUUUUUUUUUUCCUUUUUCUUUUAACAUCUGCACCUGCCGCAUGUGAAAGUUCCCAGGCUAGGGGUCCAAUUGGAGCUGUAGCCGCCAGCCUACGCCAGAGCCACAGCAAGGCAGGAUCCGAGCCACGUCUGCAACCUACACCACAGCUCAGGGAUCGAACCCGCAACUUCGUGGUUCCUAGUCGGAUUCAUUAACCACUGCGCCACGACGGGAACUCCAGCGGUGGCUUUCUUAACUAGACAGGACAGGUAACGGGAUGAUACUCAAUUGUUUGAAUAAGUCAAAUUGGCACGACUCGCCUUGAGCAAACGUAGCUCUGAGAGAAGCCCUUGCAAACUUGCCCGUUCUUGUGAAAACACCACGUCCAUCCCCAGGCCUCUCCUCUCAACACACUUCACUGGAAUUGAUUCUGUACCACACACCAAAGUAACCCCCGGGGCUGGGCCAUUGCACGGCUCCUCUGUCACCAUCCCGCUGCUGCAACCACUGCAUCACUGAGUAGCUCACCCCCUGUGUCCUUGCCUUCCCUCCGUGCUCAUCCCCACAUUGCCCAGCACGGUCUUUGAUUUGCUUCACAUUCUCACCCCUCGUCCUCUCCUCCAACCUUUCCAUUCCACCUUCGAGAUGGAAAAGCUGCCAGCUUUCUCCCAUCUUCUCUGAAGCAUCGUUCCCUCCUGAAGACACCGCUCUCCGGCAGCCUUCUCAGAAAUGGCUUUUUUCCUUCCCGCAACCUGAGUAUCACUAGCCUGAAGGGAUGCAGGUCUCGCUUUGAUCUUCGCUGCUACGUUCACACCUUCAAUGCUCUCUCCUCCCUAAGAACCCCUUUGGAAGCACUUGACACAUGAAAGAAUAUUUUAGCACCUAAUCAACUGGGUGUUUUUUCUCCCACCCCUAUCCAUACGCCAACCUGGCCACGCAGCUCCUUGACCUGCUCGCUUCUGCAAUCCUGUUCUCCCCCGACCAGACACCCGCCACCUGUGCCCACGGUUGACCUUACGCUGUGUCAUUACCAAUAACUGCACCGUCACCAACAUACUCAUCCGAAGCAUUCUCCCUCUGGGCAUCCCUCUUCUCCUAACAGGCCACUCCCUCUGGCACCAUCACUCCGACAAUGGUGGGUUGCUCCCGAGUACCUCUAAUCCAUGGAUUUAAUACAUUUUCAUGGAUUAUUAUCCCCGCAUGUCAUUUCUUCCUUCCUUGACCAAGCGAGCCUCUGUGCUUCCCCAUCAUAUUUAUUGUCUUGUCUCCAUUCUCAAAUCCCUUCAUCUUCUCAGGCUUAGGUUUCAGCCCAACGUUUCCCCUUAACUGCAGCCUCAGAGAUACUCUGGCUGCCUCACCUGAAUAUCUAAUAAACAUCCUCAACGGACAUUGCCAACGAUAAUUAUGAUUUUCUUCCCAAAUACGCUCCUAACCCAUCAUACUCGGUCAACGGCAACAUUAUUUACAUUGUGGUUAAAUUUCGUAAUACAUAUAGAUCUAUCUAUCUGCCUGCGCAUAUAUUGUCAGCUCCUACAGCAUGUGGAAGGUCCCCGGCCAGGGUCUGAACCCACACCACAGUAGUGACACCACCAGAUCCUUAACUGCUAGG